UAGGGAAUCUUCCACAAUGGACGCAAGUCUGAUGGAGCAACGCCGCGUGAGUGAAGAAGGCUUUCGGGUCGUAAAACUCUGUUAUUGAAGAAGAACGUGUGUGACAGUAACUGGUCAUGCAGUGACGGUAUUCAAUCAGAAAGUCACGGCUAACUACGUGCCAGCAGCCGGCGGUAAUACGUAGGUGGCAAGCGUUGUCCGGAUUUAUUGGGCGUAAAGCGAGUGCAGG
rnacentral:rRNA from 1 species